GGGGUGUGUGAGGUCAUCCACUUCAUGGCUGAGCUGUUGUCCCGUUCUGUGAGCGUGUGAGGUCAUCCACUUCAUGGCUGAGCUGUUGUCCCGUUCUGUGAGCGUGUGAGGUCAUCCACUUCAUGGCUGAGCUGUUGUCCCGUUCUGUGAGCGUGUGAGGUCAUCCACUUCAUGGCUGAGCUGUUGUCCCGUUCUGUGAGCGUGUGAGGUCAUCCACUUCAUGGCUGAGCUGUUGUCCCGUUCUGUGAGCGUGUGAGGUCAUCCACUUCAUGGCUGAGCUGUUGUCCCGUUCUGUGAGCGUGUGAGGUCAUCCACUUCAUGGCUGAGCUGUUGUCCCGUUCUGUGAGCGUGUGAGGUCAUCCACUUCAUGGCUGAGCUGUUGUCCCGUUCUGUGAGCGUGUGAGGUCAUCCACUUCAUGGCUGAGCUGUUGUCCCGUUCUGUGAGCGUGUGAGGUCAUCCACUUCAUGGCUGAGCUGUUGUCCCGUUCUGUGAGCGUGUGAGGUCAUCCACUUCAUGGCUGAGCUGUUGUCCUGUUCUGUGAGCGUGUGAGGUCAUCCACUUCAUGGCUGAGCUGUUGUCCCGUUCUGUGAGCGUGUGAGGUCAUCCACUUCAUGGCUGAGCUG